rnacentral:rRNA from 1 species
AUGACUAGGGAUAACCUUAGGAAGAGACACAUCAUCAAACCCCUUGAUUGUGUUUACUGCUUGGAACAAGAGUCUUGUUCUCACCUAUUUUUUCAAUGUAUAGUUGCUAAACAUCUCUGGGCCCAUAUUGAGGAAUAUUUCUCUAGUCAGAUUGGCUCAUCCUUCGAAUCUGUCGCUGGAUUCUGGAUUGCUACCAAAAAUUUAAACACUAUUAGCUCAGUUGUCCUUUGGUGCCUCUGGAAAUAUAGAAAUGCUAUGAUUUUCAGUAACACCUCCUGAAUUUCCAUUCCGCGGGUCUUGAGAUUGAUCAGGAACAUGGUGAGGAACUGGGCGAUUCUCUCCUCCGGAUCGGACAAGGACAAGUUGAUGAGCUUCGUGGAAACCCUAACAAGAUCCCUCCAGAAACCGUUGGCGAUCACUUGUGGUUGA